UACGAAGGGGGCUAGCGUUGCUCGGAAUCACUGGGCGUAAAGGGUGCGUAGGCGGCCGAUCAAGUCAGAGGUGAAAGCCCAAGGCUUAACCUUGGAAUUGCCUUUGAUACUGUUCGGCUCGAGUCCGGAAGAGGUAAGUGGAACUGCGAGUGUAGCGGUGAAAUUCGUAGAGAUUCGCAAGAACACCAGUGGCGAAGGCGGCUUACUGGUCCGGUUCUGACGCUGAGGCGCGAAAGCGUGGGGAGCAAACAGG
rnacentral:rRNA from 1 species